rnacentral:rRNA from 1 species
GAUGAACGCUGGCGGCGUGCCUAAUACAUGCAAGUCGAGCGAACAGACGAGGAGCUUGCUCCUCUGACGUUAGCGGCGGACGGGUGAGUAACACGUGGAUAACCUACCUAUAAGACUGGGAUAACUUCGGGAAACCGGAGCUAAUACCGGAUAAUAUCUUGAACCGCAUGGUUCAAUAGUGAAAGACGGCUUUGCUGUCACUUCUAGCUGGAUCCGCGCCGCAUUAGCUAGUUGGUAAGGUAACGGCUUAUCAAGGCGACGAUGCGUAGCCGACCUGAGAGGGUGAUCGGCCACACUGGAACUGGGACACGGUCCAGACUCCUACGGGAGGCAGCAGUAGGGAAUCUUCCGCAAUGGGCGAAAGCCUGACGGAGCAACGCCGCGUGAGUGAUGAAGGUCUUCGGAUCGUAAAACUCUGUUAUUAGGGAAGAACAAAUGUGUAAGUAACUAUGCACGGCUUGACGGUACCUAAUCAGAAAGCCACGGCUAACUACGUG